UACGUAGGGCGCAAGCGUUGUCCGGAAUUAUUGGGCAUAAAGAGCUCGUAGGCGGCCUGUUGCGUCCGCUGUGAAAUCCCGGGGCUCAACCCCGGGCCUGCAGUGGAUACGGGCUGGCUAGAGGCAGGCAGGGGAGAACGGAAUUCCUGGUGUAGCGGUGAAAUGCGUAGAUAUUGGGAGGAACACCAGUGGCGAAGGCGGCUACCUGGACCGGUUCUGACGCUGAUGCGCGAAAGCGUGGGUAGCAAACAGG
rnacentral:rRNA from 1 species